AGCGUAUAAGAGAGAGUAGAGAUCGUGGUCUCUCCGGUUUUACUGCUCACCGGCUUCCCGAUCAUGGCUUCGAGAUCUUGAGAACUCCAAAAUACAAUACGCCAGAAUAGCAGAUCUCCCAAACAAUUACAUCAAUGUUUGGUUGUUUCUUUGAUACCAUUUUCUAGAUGAUCUGGCUUUAUUACAUACAAGGUACGUUCAAUUCUUAAGGCUGGAAUUACCCGGUUGGGAAGUUAGUAGGAGGGAGAGGAAGAGGAUAAGGGCCAACCACUACCCAAGUUCGGAGAGUGGGAUGUGAACAAUCCUGCCUCAGCAGAAGGUUUCACUGUCAUAUUCAACAAAGCCCGAGAUGAAAAGAAAACAGGUAGCAACUCCGGUGCAACACCAACUAGAAAUGAUGGAGGUGAUUUGCAACAUGAUGAUGCCUAUCAGUAUCAACCGAAAAGCCGCAAGUGGUUGUGCUGUGGUUGAUUUUUGUUGAGCUGGUUUGCUGUAGUGAUCUUAGUUUGAGGUUGCAAGGGUAAACAGAGUUUGUUUAGCGGAUAUAUCUGACUGAAAUUAUUAUACCCCAAUGCUCCGUAUGUAUUCUAAUUAAUUAUUCUGUAUUUUUUAAACUUAUUAUUCUCAGUUUUGCCGUGUAGUUGCACCAUUUCA